CUAAGUUUGCUUCAAGUUAGUGAGCAACAAUAUUUUAAUUUUAAAAUUUAAAUUAAUUAUUUAUUUUAAUAAAUUUAUAAUUAUGAUAACUAUAUAAAUUAUACUAACUACAUUUAUAUAUUAAAAAAAAUUUAAAAAAUAGUGAUUUUUAGAGUUUGAACCAGCAAAACAUAAAGCUUAUAAAUAAUCUAAAGGUGUACUGAUGGCGUCGUUUAUAUUCACUGACCGUUCCUAACUCAAGUGGUAAAAAAUUUGAUGAUUAAUAUUCGAUGUUUCAAAUUUAAAAUUUAAUUAUUUUAUUUUACCCACAUUUGACACUUGAUUCCGUUUGUGAGA
rnacentral:lncRNA from 1 species